GGAUAACGUCCCGAAAGGGACGCUAAUACCGCAUAACAUCCUGUCCUUGAACGGAUGGAGAUCAAAGACAGUCGAAGCGCAAGACCUGGCGCUUGAUGAGGGGCCCGCGUCUGAUUAGCUAGUUGGUGAGGUAACGGCCCACCAAGGCGACGAUCAGUAUCCGGCCUGAGAGGGCGGACGGACACACUGGGACUGAGACACGGCCCAGACUCCUACGGGAGGCAGCAGUGGGGAAUUGUUCACAAUGGGCGCAAGCCUGAUGACGCAACGCCGCGUGGAGGAUGAAGGUCUUCGGAUUUUUAUUUCCUGUUGCUCGGGACGAAAAGCCUCGACCUAACACGUCGAGG
rnacentral:rRNA from 1 species